rnacentral:misc_RNA from 1 species
AAAUGCGAUAAGUAAUGUGAAUUGCAGAAUUCAGUGAAUCAUCGAAUCUUUGAACGCACCUUGCGCUCCUUGGUAUUCCUUGGAGCAUGCCUGUUUGAGUAUCAUGAAAUCUUCAAAGUAAAUCUUUUGUUAACUCAAUUGGUUUCUACUUUGGUAUUGGAGGUCUUUGCAGCUUCACACCUGCUCCUCUUUGUUCAUUAGCUGGAUCUCAGUGUUAUGUUUGGUUCCACUCGGCGUGAUAAGUUAUCUAUCGCUGAGGACACUGUAAAAGGUGGCCAAGGUAAAUGCAGAUGAACCGCUUCUAAUAGUCCAUUGACUUGGACAAUACUUUUAUGAUCUGAUCUCAAAUCAGGUAGGACUACCCGCUGAACUUAAGC